GUGUCAGCAGCCGCGGUAAUACGUAGGUGGCAAGCGAUACUCGGAAUCACUAGGCGUAAAGCGCAGGUAGGUGGUUGGGUAAGUCUUUUGUGAAAGCUCCUGGCUUAACUGGGAGAGGUCAAAGGAAACUACUCGGCUAGAGUUUGGUAGGGGAUACUGGAAUUCCUGGUGUAGCGGUGAAAUGCGUAGAUAUCAGGAGGAAUACCUAUGGCGAAAGCAGGUAUCUGGGCCACAACUGACACUGAGCUGCGAAAGCUAGGGGAGCAAACAGGAUUAGAUACCCUCGUAGUCC
rnacentral:rRNA from 1 species